AUAUCAAUAAGCGGAGGAAAAGAAACCAACAGGGAUUGCCUCAGUAACGGCGAGUGAAGCGGCAACAGCUCAAAUUUGAAAUCUGGCCUCACGGUCCGAGUUGUAAUUUGUAGAGGAUGUUUUGGGUACCGCCGUGGUUUAAAUUUCUUGGAACAGAAUGUCAAAGAGGGUGAGAGUCCCGUCUUGGACCGCGGUAGGGCCUGUGUAAAACUCCUUCGACGAGUCGACUUGUUUGGGAAUGCAGGUCAAAAUGGGUGGUAAAUUUCUUCUAAAGCUAAAUAUUGGCCAGAGACCGAUAGCGCACAAGUAGAGUGAUCGAAAGAUGAAAAGCACUUUGAAAAGAGGGUUAAAUAGCACGUGAAAUUGUUGAAAGGGAAGCGCUUGUGACCAGACUUGCGCCGGGCAGAUCAUCCGGUGUUCUCACCGGUGCACUCUGCCCGGCUCAGGCCAGCAUCGGUUCUCGUGGGGGGAUAAAGGUCCCGGGAACGUAGCUCCUCCGGGAGUGUUAUAGCCCGGGGCGUAAUGCCCUCGUGGGGACCGGGGUUCGCGCAUCUGCAAGGAUGCUGGCGUAAUGGUCAUCAGCGA
rnacentral:rRNA from 1 species